GAGGCGACCACUCCCGGGGAGGCGGGUGGGAUGAUCAUGAGAGGUGGUUGGUUGCAGCGAAGCCGGGCGUCAUGGCUGAGAGCAGCAGUGCUCUGUGCUGGUGACCCCCAGGAGGUGGCUGGGUAGUGGUAAUGCCUGUGUAGCUAGCUAGUUCCAAUCUAAUUUAACACAAUGUCCCAACAACGAGUCCUGCCUCAGAGUAAAGAAACCCUCCUACAGUCCUACAACAAGAGGCUGAAAGAUGACAUCAAGUCAAUCAUGGAUAACUUCACAGAGAUCAUCAAGACUGCUAAGAUUGAAGAUGAAACCCAAGUCUCUCGAGCGACCCAGAGUGAGCAGGACAACUACGAGAUGCACGUCAGAGCUGCCAACAUCGCCGAGAGAUAGGAAACAAUUGAUGGUGAGUUGCGUGAAUCGGAAAGUUUCGUCGAACGUUGAAGCUUUGAGAAGGCAAUCGUCGAGGUAAGGAAAUAUUAUGACCCCUUGUUUCCUGAGGUAGGCAGUGACUAUGGCUAGGAGCUUGGAAAAAAACACGGGGGGCAGUGGAAAGACCGAAGGGUAGAACCCUGUAUUGAAAAUGUGUUGAGCCAAGGGUAAAACGAAGGAAUCGUCUGUGGGCUGCAUGUAUAGUCACAUGAAAAUAGGCGUCCUGUAGGUCGAGGACUGAAAACCAAUCGCCCUGCUCCAGCGCUGGAAUUAUGGUGGUGAGAGUAACCAUCUUGAACUUUUGCUUUUUCAUAAAUUUGUUGAGCUGCCUGAAGUCGAGGAUCGGUCGCCAUCCCCCAGUUUUCUUUUCUGUUAAGAAAUAAUGGGAAUAAAAGCCCUUCCCUCUGUGUCGUUCGGGCACAAGUUCCACUGCUCCGAACUGAAGGAGAUGUUGUACUUCUUGGAAGAGCAGUGGCUCGUGAGAGGGGUCCCUGAAGAGGGACGGGGAGGGUGGGAAUAGAGUAGCCAAUUGUGACGACCUCUAUAACCCACUUGUCGGUGGUAAUGCUCUGCCAUUGAUGGGAGAAUGGUCGUAGGCAGUGUCCAAAAAUAGGUACAAAUCUGCUUAUUAGUUGGAGGGGGUUGAGGUGUUACCGAAGAAUCGGGACGACUACGCUUGCCCUUGAGUCCUUCAUUGAAUGAAGUACGUCGUUCGUGGUGGAAGCAAAGGGUUUGUCACCGUCAAAGGGAAGAUCUUCAAUGGUACUCUGGACUCUUGAGGAAAGGAAGAGGAUGAGAGCCAUGAACCUUGGCGCAUGACCACUGCUGCGGUGGUGGAUCUUGCUGCAGUAUUGGCUGCAUUGAGGGCCGCUUGAAGAGCGGUACGUGGUAUGAUUGGUCCCUCAGAAACUAAAGCUGUGAAUUGUUGCUUCUUUUCUUCUGGAAUGUCAUCAAUAAAGUCCAUGAAUGUG